rnacentral:rRNA from 1 species
AAAUUGAAGAGUUUGAUCAUGGCUCAGAUUGAACGCUGGCGGCAGGCCUAACACAUGCAAGUCGAACGGUAGCACAGAGAGCUUGCUCUCGGGUGACGAGUGGCGGACGGGUGAGUAAUGUCUGGGAAACUGCCCGAUGGAGGGGGAUAACUACUGGAAACGGUAGCUAAUACCGCAUAACGUCGCAAGACCAAAGUGGGGGACCUUCGGGCCUCACACCAUCGGAUGUGCCCAGAUGGGAUUAGCUAGUAGGUGGGGUAACGGCUCACCUAGGCGACGAUCCCUAGCUGGUCUGAGAGGAUGACCAGCCACACUGGAACUGAGACACGGUCCAGACUCCUACGGGAGGCAGCAGUGGGGAAUAUUGCACAAUGGGCGCAAGCCUGAUGCAGCCAUGCCGCGUGUAUGAAGAAGGCCUUCGGGUUGUAAAGUACUUUCAGCGAGGAGGAAGGCGUUGUGGUUAAUAACCACAGC